AUUGAACGCUGGCGGCAGGCUUAACACAUGCAAGUCGAGCGAGCGGCGGACGGGUGAGUAAUGUCUGGGAAACUGCCCGAUGGAGGGGGAUAACUACUGGAAACGGUAGCAAAUACCGCUUACCAUCAGAUGUGCCCAGAUGGGAUUAGCUUGUGGGUGGGGUAAUGGCUCACAUGGGCGACGAUCCCUAGCUGGUUGGAGAGGGUGACCAGCAACACUGGAACUGAGACCGGGCCCAGAUUCCUACGGGGGGCAGAAGUGGGAAAUAUUGUACAAUGGGGGAAAGCCUGAUGCAGCCAUGCCGCGUGUAUGAGAAAGGCCUUCGGGUUGUAAAGUACUUUGUGCGAGGAGGCGUUACUUACAGAAGAAGCACCGGCUAACUCCGUGCCAGCAGCCGCGGUAAUUC
rnacentral:rRNA from 1 species